CAUGUCUCCACUCACCUCGAGCAGCUGAAUGCGGUCAAAGCAAAGACACUAGGAAGCUUUUUGUAGAUGUUUGGUUGUUGGAGAGUGGGUUUGGAGUCAACAAUGACACACCGUAACAUUUCCCUCGAAGGUCAAAGAGCACCUCGUAGCUGUCACGGUCCGGCCGGCCGGCCGCACAGGUGGAACUUCCCUCGCGGUCCUUACCCGUGAGGCGCCCGGGCGGCGGAGGGGAUGGCGCGGAGGAGCGGCCGUCGACGUGAGCAGCCGGCGCGGAGAUUGGACGGAGUAUUUAUUUUGCCUCGAGAGAAAGUCGGCGCUGGAGUUUGACCCCCGCGUGUCGCCAUGACAACCUACGGCCCUCCGACGCUCGGCGGCCGGCGGAUGACAGCAUCCUCCUACCGGCGUGUACGCGGCGAAACCGGCAGCGCCCACGCGGCCCAAGAUUGACAUAAACACUUUUUAAUUGAGCUGCAAAUGUUGUCAUACGAGAUGGAGUCACUAUUUUAGCAUCCCUGAGGGGGAAAACUGCUCACGCGAAAAAGAAAUGCAUAAUUGAUACAGCC